rnacentral:rRNA from 1 species
UACGGGAGGCAGCAGGGGGAAUAUUGCACAAUGGGCGCAAGCCUGAUGCAGCCAUGCCGCGUGUAUGAAGAAGGCCUUCGGGUUGUAAAGUACUUUCAGUCGUGAGGAAGGUGUUAAGGUUAAUAACCUUAGCAAUUGACGUUAGCGACAGAAGAAGCACCGGCUAACUCCGUGCCAGCAGCCGCGGUAAUACGGAGGGUGCGAGCGUUAAUCGGAAUUACUGGGCGUAAAGGGCACGCAGGCGGUUAAUUAAGUUGGAUGUGAAAUCCCCGGGCUUAACCUGGGAAUGGCAUUCAAGACUGGUUAGCUAGAGUCUUGUAGAGGGGGUAGAAUUCCAUGUGUAGCGGUGAAAUGCGUAGAGAUGUGGAGGAAUACCGGUGGCGAAGGCGGCCCCUGGCAAAGGACUGACGCUCAUGUGCGAAAGCGUGGGGAGCAAAC